AAUUCAGAUUCUUCCACUGACCUGUAUAGGUUGUUUAGUUUGUUUUAGAAAAGGGAGGGCGUACUGCAGACGUCAUGUGAUUAAGGAGCUGACGAGCACCACAGAGGGUUGGCGGCUUAAGUUGAGCAAUAGGGAUUUUGCAGUGACCUAGUGUCCCCAUGAGUGACAGAACACUGAGCCAAUCAUGGCUCAACUACAGAAGAUUACCAACCCCUACUCUGUACUUUCCGCUGAGCCGCUGAGGUAGGCUGAAACACCUGCAUUUUGGAGCUGCCUCACUCAAGAAAGCAACAAAUAGACCAUGUUUGUAUGCAGCUUUGUUAACUCAAUACAUUUUUGUUUACAUUGUUUGCAAAUUGAUAUGUGACACGUAUUAGUGCUAAAUUAACAAGCAAUUAAAUAUUACUAUAAUAUUUUUUUUUGCUAAACA